rnacentral:pre_miRNA from 1 species
UACUCCAGAGGGCGUCACUCACAUAAACUAAAACAUGAUUGUCGCCUUUUUGAGUAGA